AUUGAACGCUGGCGGCAGGCCUAACACAUGCAAGUCGAGCGGAGCGGCGGACGGGUGAGUAAUGCCUAGGAAUCUGCCUGGUAGUGGGGGAUAACGUCCGGAAACGGGCGCUAAUACCGCAUACUAUCAGAUGAGCCUAGGUCGGAUUAGCUAGUUGGUGGGGUAAAGGCCUACCAAGGCGACGAUCCCUAGCUGGUGUGAGAGGAUGACCAGCAACACGUGAACUGAGUCACGGUCCAAACUCCGACGGGAGGCAGGAAUGGGGAAGAAUGUACAAUGGGCGCAAGCCUGAUGCAGCCAUGCCGCGUGUAUGAAGAAGGCCUUCGGGUUGUAAAGUCGUUUCAGCGGGGAGGCGUUACCUGCAAAAGAAGCACCGGCUAACUCCGUGCCAGCAGCCGCGGUAAUAC
rnacentral:rRNA from 1 species